AAUCUGUAUUGUUGGCACUUUCUCAGGAGCUCCUUGAACCUUUCCAAUGUCUCGAAUAGAGACUCCAAUUCCGACUGUACAAAGUAUGAGAUCUCAUUCCUACGCUU